AAAAAAGGAACUCGGCAACCAAAGACCCCAACUGUUUAACAAAAACAUAACCUUUAGCUACAUAAACCAGUAUUAAAGGCAACGCCUGCCCAGUGAACAAUUAAACGGCCGCGGUACCCUAACCGUGCAAAGGUAGCGUAAUCACUUGUCUAUUAAUUGUAGACCCGUAUGAAAGGCAUAAUGAGGGCCUAACUGUCUCUUAUAGUAAAUCAAUUAAACUGAUCUCCCAGUCCAAAAGCUGGAAUGUAAACAUAAGACCAGAAGACCCUGUGAAGCUUAAACUAAACUAUUAAAACCAAUAAUAGCUACUUUCGGUUGGGGCGACCUUGGAAACAAAAGAAACUUCCAAAAAAAUAACUUAUACUGUUCUAUACGGCCAACAAGCCUACUACGACCCAGCACAGCUGAUAAUGAACCAAAAUUCACUA
rnacentral:rRNA from 1 species